rnacentral:rRNA from 1 species
UACGUAGGUGGCGAGCGUUGUCCGGAAUUAUUGGGCGUAAAGCGUGCGUAGGCGGGAUAGUCAGUCUGUUGUAAAAGCGCGGGGCUUAACUCCAUAAGGUCAAUGGAAACUGCUAUUCUUGAGUGCAGGAGAGGAAAGUGGAAUUCCCAGUGUAGCGGUGAAAUGCGUAGAUAUUGGGAAGAACACCAGUAGCGAAGGCGACUUUCUGGACUGUGUCUGACGCUGAGGCACGAAAGCCAGGGGAGCGAACGGG